GUGCUCAUUUCAGCAGCACAUAUAUUAAAACUGGAAUGAUACAAAUGGCCCCUGGGCAAGGAUGACAUGCAAAUUUGUGAAGUGUUCCUACAUAUU
rnacentral:snRNA from 1 species